rnacentral:rRNA from 1 species
CCCUUAGAUGUUCUGGGCCGCACACGCGCUACACUGAAGGAGGCAGCGUGUACUCCUGGAUCGAAAGAUUUGGGUAACCCGCGAAUCUCCUUCGUGCUAGGGAUUGAGGUUUGCAAUUAUCCUUCAUGAACGAGGAAUUCCCAGUAAGUGCAAGUCAUAAGCUUGCGCUGACUACGUCCCUGCCCUUUGUACACACCGCCCGUCGCUACUACCGAUUGAAUGAUUUAGUGAGGACUUCGGACUGGGACCGAUGCGGCUUUCGGGCUGCGUCGGUAUUCUGGAAAGAUGUACAAACUGUAUCAUUUAGAGGAAGUAAAAGUCGUANCA